rfam:Aedes albopictus isolate Foshan contig87367, whole genome shotgun sequence.
GGUUCCGUAGCUUGGAGGGAAAAAGCGCCCGUCUAGCGAAUUGGGAGUCAUGGGUUCGAUUCCCACCGGAACAC